rnacentral:rRNA from 1 species
AGAGUUUGAUCAUGGCUCAGGAUUAACGCUAGCGGCAGGCCUAAUACAUGCAAGUCGAACGGCAGCGGGUGUAGCAAUACAUGCCGGCGAGUGGCGCACGGGUGCGUAACGCGUAUGCAAUCUACCUAUAACUGGGGAAUAGCCUUCCGAAAGGAAGAUUAAUACCGCAUAAUAUCACGAGGCGGCAUCGUUUUGUGAUCAAAACUCAGGUGGUUAUAGAUGAGCAUGCGUGACAUUAGCUAGUUGGUGAGGUAACGGCUCACCAAGGCGACGAUGUCUAGGGGGUCUGAGAGGAUGAUCCCCCACACUGGUACUGAGACACGGACCAGACUCCUACGGGAGGCAGCAGUAAGGAAUAUUGGACAAUGGCCGCAAGGCUGAUCCAGCCAUGCCGCGUGAAGGAUGAAGGUGCUCUGCAUUGUAAACUUCUUUUGUUCGGGAAUAAACCUCUGGUUUCUACCAGAGCUGAAUGUACCGAAAGAAUAAGGGACGGCUAACUUCGUGCCAGCAGCCGCGGUAAUACGAAGGUCCCAAGCGUUAUCCGGAUUUAUUGGGUUUAAAGGGUGCGUAGGCGGGUUUUUAAGUCAGUGGUGAAAGCCUACAGCUCAACUGUAGAAUUGCCAUUGAUACUGAAAGUCUUGAGUAUGGUUGAGGUGGGCGGAAUGUGUCAUGUAGCGGUGAAAUGCUUAGAUAUGACACAGAACACCGAUUGCGAAGGCAGCUCACUAAGCCAUAACUGACGCUGAUGCACGAAAGCGUGGGGAGCAAACAGGAUUAGAUACCCUGGUAGUCCACGCCCUAAACGAUGAUCACUCGAUGUGUGCGAUAUACAGUACGCGUCUGAGCGAAAGCAUUAAGUGAUCCACCUGGGGAGUACGACCGCAAGGUUGAACUCAUAGGAAUUGACGGGGGCCCGCACAAGCGAGAGCAUGUGGUUUGUUCGAUGAUACGCGAGACCCUUACCAGCCUGAGGUAGUGAAGGAUGUGAAACAUGUCGUCAGCAUGAACACCGAAACUAAGU